rnacentral:rRNA from 1 species
AGCGAAAUUCCUUGUCGGGUAAGUUCCGACCUGCACGAAUGGCGUAACGAUGGCGGCGCUGUCUCCACCCGAGACUCAGUGAAAUUGAAAUCGCUGUGAAGAUGCAGUGUAUCCGCGGCUAGACGGAAAGACCCCGUGAACCUUUACUGUAGCUUUGCACUGGACUUUGAGCCUGCUUGUGUAGGAUAGGUGGGAGGCUUUGAAGCGUGGACGCCAGUUCGCGUGGAGCCAUCCUUGAAAUACCACCCUGGCAUGCUUGAGGUUCUAACUCUGGUCCGUGAUCCGGAUCGAGGACAGUGUAUGGUGGGCAGUUUGACUGGGGCGGUCUCCUCCUAAAGAGUAACGGAGGAGUACGAAGGUGCGCUCAGACCGGUCGGAAAUCGGUCGCAGAGUAUAAAGGCAAAAGCGCGCUUGACUGCGAGACAGACACGUCGAGCAGGUACGAAAGUAGGUCUUAGUGAUCCGGUGGUUCUGUAUGGAAGGGCCAUCGCUCAACGGAUAAAAGGUACUCCGGGGAUAACAGGCUGAUACCGCCCAAGAGUUCAUAUCGACGGCGGUGUUUGGCACCUCGAUGUCGGCUCAUCACAUCCUGGGGCUGAAGCCGGUCCCAAGGGUAUGGCUGUUCGCCAUUUAAAGUGGUACGCGAGCUGGGUUUAGAACGUCGUGAGACAGUUCGGUCCCUAUCUGCCGUGGACGUUUGAGAUUUGAGAGGGGCUGCUCCUAGUACGAGAGGACCGGAGUGGACGAACCUCUGGUGUUCCGGUUGUCACGCCAGUGGCAUUGCCGGGUAGCUAUGUUCGGAAAAGAUAACCGCUGAAAGCAUCUAAGCGGGAAACUUGCCUCAAGAUGAGAUCUCACUGGGAACUUGAUUCCCCUGAAGGGCCGUCGAAGACUACGACGUUGAUAGGCUGGGUGUGUAAGCGUUGUGAGGCGUUGAGCUAACCAGUACUAAUUGCCCGUGAGGCUUGACCAU